AACGAACGCUAGCGGGAGGCUUAACACAUGCAAGUCGUGGGGCAGCACGGGGUAGCAAUAUCCUGGUGGCGACCGGCGCACGGGUGAGUAACGCGUAUGCAACCUACCCAGUACAGGGGGAUAGCCCGGAGAAAUUCGGAUUAAUACCCCAUAAUGAUAUUAAGAGGCAUCUUUUAAUAUUUAAAGCUACGGCGGUACUGGAUGGGCAUGCGUAAGAUUAGCUAGUUGGUAGGGUAACGGCCUACCAAGGCUCCGAUCUUUAGGGGUCCUGAGAGGGUGAUCCCCCAUACUGGUACUGAGACACGGACCAGACUCCUACGGGAGGCAGCAGUGAGGAAUAUUGGUCAAUGGGCGCAAGCCUGAACCAGCCAUCCCGCGUGAAGGAAGAAUGCGCUAUGCGUUGUAAACUUCUUUUCCGGAGGAAUAAAAUUUUGUACGAGUACAGGACUGAAGGUACACCGGGAAUAAGCAUCGGCUAACUCCGUGCCAGCCGCCGCUGUAAUAC
rnacentral:rRNA from 1 species